AUUAUUAUGAAGCUUAACAUUGUAAGUAAAUAUUGAUUAUAAAAGCAAAAAAUUAUGGCGGUAUCUUAAGCUUUUCAGAGGAAUUUGCUCUUUAAUGGAUAAAACACCUAAAUCUUACUUUGAUUAGUUAAAUCAAUUUGUAUACCACUAUUAAAAUAAUAAUACACAAUUAUUAUUAGAAUAUAAAACAUAUAAAAAAUUAAGUCAAGGUGCAGUAAAAAUCAAAGAAUGAAGUGAAUUACAUUUCUUUUUAGAAAAAAAAAUAUGAAAUUUAAUUUAGGAUUUGAAAGUAAAA
rnacentral:rRNA from 1 species